GAUGAACGCUGGCGGCGUGCCUAACACAUGCAAGUCGAACGAAGCACUUGUAUUUGAUUCUUCGGAUGAAGAUACUUGUGACUGAGUGGCGGACGGGUGAGUAACGCGUGGGUAACCUGCCUCAUACAGGGGGAUAACAGUUAGAAAUGGCUGCUAAUACCGCAUAAGCACACAGUGUUGCAUGACACAGUGUGAAAAACUCCGGUGGUAUGAGAUGGACCCGCGUCUGAUUAGCUGGUUGGUGGGGUAACGGCCUACCAAGGCGACAAUCAGUAGCCGACCUGAGAGGGUGACCGGCCACAUUGGGACUGAGACACGGCCCAAACUCCUACGGGAGGCAGCAGUGGGGAAUAUUGCACAAUGGGGGAAACCCUGAUGCAGCGACGCCGCGUGAGCGAAGAAGUAUUUCGGUAUGUAAAGCUCUAUCAGCAGGGAAGAA
rnacentral:rRNA from 1 species